rnacentral:rRNA from 1 species
UGGGGAAUAUUGCACAAUGGGCGAAAGCCUGAUGCAGCGACGCCGCGUGAGGGAUGACGGCCUUCGGGUUGUGAAAUCCUCUUUCAGCAGGGAAGAAGUCGAAAGGUGACGGAUACCUGCAGAAGAAGCGCCGGCUAACUACGUGCCAGCAGCCGCGGUAAUACGUAGGGCGCAAGCGUUGUCCGGAAUUAUUGGGCGUAAAGAGCUCGUAGGCGGCUUGUCACGUCGGUUGUGAAAGCCCGGGGCUUAACCCCGGGUCUGCAGUCGAUACGGGCAGGCUAGAGUUCGGUAGGGGAGAUCGGAAUUCCUGGUGUAGCGGUGAAAUGCGCAGAUAUCAGGAGGAACACCGGUGGCGAAGGCGGAUCUUCUUGGGCCGAUACUGACGCUGAGGAGCGAAAGCGUGGGGAGCGAACA